rnacentral:rRNA from 1 species
UAAGGAAUAUUGGUCAAUGGACGCAAGUCUGAACCAGCCAUGCCGCGUGAAGGAUGAAGGUCCUCUGGAUUGUAAACUUCUUUUAUCUGGGACGAAAACGGGAUUUUUAUCUCAAUUGACGGUACCAGAGGAAUAAGCACCGGCUAACUUCGUGCCAGCAGCCGCGGUAAUACGAAGGGUGCAAGCGUUACUCGGAAUUACUGGGCGUAAAGCGUGCGUAGGUGGUUGUUUAAGUCUGUCGUGAAAGCCCUGGGCUCAACCUGGGCAUGGCGAUGGAAACUGGGCGACUAGAGUGUGGCAGAGGGUAGUGGAAUUCCUGGUGUAGCAGUGAAAUGCGUAGAGAUCAGGAGGAACAUCCGUGGCGAAGGCGACUGCCUGGGCCAACACUGACACUGAGGCACGAAAGCGUGGGGAGCAAACA